CUCUGGACAAUGCCUCAACCGGAAAGGUCACAGAUCAGCCCCUGGGGGGAGUGGUGCCGGCGGUAGUGUUGUCAUCUUUACCAAGAAACUCGUUGGAGAUCCGAACCGUAAAAUUUCCGUAUCUGGAGGGGCUCCUGUGAAAUGUGCUUUUGGAACUGGCGGUGGGGGAGGUGGUGGAAUUGGUCGCUGGGUGGUGCAGGAAGGUCGAGCAACCCAUCAGAGCUAAAUUGGUCAUGGAACUUCAAGAAAGAAAACGACGCCGAGAAGCCAAGAAUGCGCUAGCAAGUGUUUUUUAUGCAUUUCAGAAUUUUUCUCUCUUUGCUGUGUUAGUGUAAUGACUGAGCAAUACCAGUAGGAUGUAGUUGAAUGAACGGAAAAUAGGAAAUAAAAUGACAGCGAUUCUGGUCAA